rnacentral:rRNA from 1 species
CCUACGGGUGGCAGCAGUGAGGAAUAUUGGUCAAUGGACGAGAGUCUGACCCAGACACGUAGCGUGAAUGAUGACUGCCCUAUGGGUUGUAAGCUUCUUUUAUAAAGGAAUGAAACGAGGCACGUGUGCCUUUUUGCAUGUACUUUAUGAAUAAGGAUCGGCUAACUCCGUGCCAGCAGCCGCGGUAAUACGGAGGAUCCGAGCGUUAUCCGGGUUUAGUGGGUUUAAAGGGAGCGUAGAUGGGUUGUUAAGACGGUUGUGAAAGUUUGAGGCUCAACCUCGACAUUGCUACCGAUACUGGUGGCCUCGAGUACAGGUGAGGUAAAAGGAAUUCCUAGUGUAGCGGUGGAAUGCGUAGAUAUUAGGAGGAACACCGGUUGCGAAGGCAAGUUGCUGAACUGUAACUGACACUGAGGCACGAAAGCGUGGGGAGCAAACAGGAUUAGAUACCCGAGUAGUC